AAAAAAAAAAAUAGCUAGAGCAGCUCGAGGCAUCAAUGAACUACGUACAAUACUGAAAGAUUAGCUUAACAAGUGUAUACACGAGGAAGAAAAAUAUUUAUUACACAACUAAUAGAAAUAACUUAGUUUAACUAUUUUGAUUUAAAGCUUUAAGAACUGAAAGUUAUUUGAGUCAAUUAAGCCUGUUGUUACUGUUGAUAAAUGUCGUACUGCCUUGCCUGGCCUUUGUAUGCAUGUUUCAGAACUUGAAUACAGAUAGAAUACCUCUGGUUAGCCAACAUCUUUGAUGUGAAGAUGCACAUUUAGACGGAGAACCAGCGGCGACAGAGACUGGGACCAUGCUGCCGCUGCCGCUGCUGCUUUAUAUUUAAACAGCUAGUGGUGCCAAAACGAGAUGCUGGUUUCAUAAUGACCCAGGCCUAGCUCCCAUGAAAGGCUGCUCAUCUUAUCAUCUAAAGACUAACUAUUACUACAGUGACAUGCCUGGUUCAAGGAACACAAAAUUGGCCAAAAAAUUCUCCUAUAAUUUUCUGUUAGUUUUAAAUCAGCAGGAAUAGAUGAAGACUCCAUUCUUCUCUUUGAUGGCAUUUCAGUUAGUGGUAUUGACACCACUUAAGAAAACAUGCACUUUCAUUUGUUUUUCCUUUCAUUUGUUUUCCCUCCCAAUCAUGUUGUAGGUUGAAAACCCAAGUUCAGGAUUGUUUUAUCCACCACUAAUGGUCAAGCUUUUGCUGAUACAUGGGAGAUGUUCAGCUUCCAACGCAGACGUAAUGUAACAUCUAUAAUCGAAUUAUCAAUUGGGUUUGGCUUAAUUUGUACACCUGGAGAUAGCUCAAGAAAAAAGCAGAGGUAGGUGAUUAUUCUUCUUCCAUUAGUAUAUUAAAACAACAUCUGGAGAUGAGAAACCACACCCCAAUGGAUUCCAGGAAGCUAAGUUGGUUGGGAUAGGAGAAAGAGAGGAAUGAUUGAUUACAAUGACAGGCUAGAACCAGCCCAACAUACCAUUGACAAUUUGCAUUCUGGAAGAUCGAAUCUUGAUUAAGUUAAAAUUCUCUCGCGUACUCAGCAUAUUCAAAUCUGACUCUGCAUCAUAUAAUUUUUUGCUCAGUAUGAUGAUCGUUAUUAUUCUCUGCUUAUUCAAAUACUAAGUUAAUGUUGGAUUUGACAUAAAUAUAUCCUCCUGCUAGUUCUUGCGUAAUAUCAGGGUUUGCAUGUGAGGCGUCGGUGAAUCUCUCUUCUAU
rnacentral:misc_RNA from 1 species